rnacentral:rRNA from 1 species
AUUGAACGCUGGCGGCGUGCCUUACACAUGCAAGUCGAACGAGUGGCGAACGGGUGAGUAAUGUAUCGGAACGUACCUAGUAGUGGGGGAUAACUGCUGGAAACGAUAGCUAAUACCGCAUACUAUCCGAUGUGCCGAUGUGUGAUUAGCUGGUGGGUGGGGUAAAGGCUCACCUAGGCGACGAUCAGUAGCGGGUCUGAGAGGAUGACCCGCCACACUGGAACUGAGACACGGCCCAGACUCCUACGGGAGGCAGCAGUGGGGAAUUUUGGACAAUGGGCGCAAGCCUGAUCCAGCCAUGCCGCGUGUCUGAAGAAGGCCUUCGGGUUGUAAAGGACUUUUGUCAGGGAAGCGGUACCUGAAGAAUAAGCACCGGCUAACUACGUGCCAGCAGCCGCGGUAAUAC